UACGUAGGGAGCAAGCGUUGUUCGGAUUUACUGGGCGUAAAGGGCGCGUAGGCGGCAAAUUAAGUCAGCUGUGAAAUCUCCGAGCUUAACUCGGAACGGUCAGCUGAUACUGAUCUGCUAGAGUGCGGAAGGGGCAAUCGGAAUUCUUGGUGUAGCGGUGAAAUUCGUAGAUAUUAAGAGGAACACCGGUGGCGAAGGCGGCUAUCUGGCACACAACUGACGCUGAGGCGCGAAAGCGUGGGGAUCAAACAGG
rnacentral:rRNA from 1 species